rnacentral:lncRNA from 1 species
GGAAACUCACGUACUUUCCUUCGAAAUGGAAAAGAGCAAUUCAAAGAUCACUAUCAACCAUGAAUCUUAAUAACAGAAGCUUAGUUCUCGUUCCAAAAAAGCUUCGCAAAGUCAGAAACAAAUCCGUUCAAAAGUUCGAAGAAUCAAAAGCAAAAAUUUCGUUCAGUCAAUGAAGGUUUUCCAACGGAAUAUUAUACGAAAUUUUCCCUACUACAGGUAUGUUAAGGCCUUCUCUUCUUUCUUUUGGCAUGGUCCAAGUUAUACUGAAGAAACGAACAAACACAUAGUUUUCAUAAAUUACUCUAUUCAUCGAAAUAGUAGGGGUGUCUAUAUUCUUUAUUCCCCAUGAAAAAUAUUAUUAUCUUCUGUUCGUGGGUCUCAGAAUAAUACACAAUUGAAAAAGUUUAUCCGGAAGGAAUAUUGAGAUUAUUACAUAUUUUUCAUGCAUUUCACUCAUUUAUACAUAUGCAUUGACUCAUGACCAGAUGGCGUUAUAUACGCGUAUAUAUGUAAAUAUAUGUAUUAUGGGAUAUGGGAAAAGAUUUCGGCAUUGUAUACCCACCACCACCUGAUCAGUCGGUAUGUGUUGAUAAUGUUGCCCACAGUGGCCGAGAUGAUAUGAUGGGAUGCCCUCAGUGACUUGAUGAUAUUAUGUACACCCAUACCUAUGCAUGGCACAAUAUUUAUACGCACAUGCAUGACAUUAUAAACGUUUCAGAAUUUACAAAGUUAUUCAGAUUUAAAGAUGUGUUUCUUUAUUCCAUGUUUCAUCUAUGUCUUUUACGUAUUAAUUUUCAUGCCUUACAUACUCAGUACAUUUUUCGUACUGACGCCCUAUUUCACGGGGCCUGUGUUUCAUGCCCGCAGGUGCAGGUAGGCAAGCUGACAGUCCCCCUUCUUAGGAUCGCUGAUCCGCGAGAGUUGGCGUGCUCCACUUGAUCCGGAACUACUUUGAUUUUGGUCGACAUGUUUGUGUAUAUAUAUGUAUAUGGGUAUGACAUGGCUCAGUCCCGUCUUUGUACAGUUAUAUUUCUAUUAGAGGUCUGUAGAUAGUGUUGGGUUGUAUGUGACCUUGUCGGCUUUCAGUUUUGGAUGUAUAGUUGUCUAUAGCAGCCUUGCCGACUCGCCUACUAUAUCCUGC